AAAUUGAAGAGUUUGAUCAUGGCUCAGAUUGAACGCUGGCGGCAGGCCUAACACAUGCAAGUCGAACGGUAACAGGAAACAGCUUGCUGCUUUGCUGACGAGUGGCGGACGGGUGAGUAAUGUCUGGGAAACUGCCUGAUGGAGGGGGAUAACUACUGGAAACGGUGGCUAAUACCGCAUAAUGUCGCAAGACCAAAGAGGGGGACCUUCGGGCCUCUUGCCAUCAGAUGUGCCCAGAUGGGAUUAGCU
rnacentral:rRNA from 1 species